UUGUUCCUUCCCAGCCAUUAUUUAUACAUUCAAUAUUACGUAAGGUAUACAUAUUCAUUACAGGUUGCAACAUCAGCCUCGCAUUCCAUUCCAAUUAGCUCUCCUCCCAUUUGCACAUGCGUGGUGCUCUCUGGUGGUUGUCCAGGUGGUCGUCCAGAUGAAGUAAGGAGUCUUCCUCUCUGUUAAACUUUUCACCUUUCUCACUCGACGCAUGCUCUCUCCGCUCCUUGGUUCUGGUUCAACUCACUUCAGCAUUUUCAGGUUCUUAUCAAAGGUCAGGUUGUACCUGUUCUCUCACAGGGGUCCCUUUCAAGGAUUUAUUUGACUGUUCGGUAUACUCCCUAAAUAUCUUAGUAUAGAUAAAUUUGAUAAUGUAAAUACACU